AUUGAACGCUGGCGGCAGGCCUAACACAUGCAAGUCGAGCGAGCGGCGGACGGGUGAGUAAUGUCUGGGCAACUGCCUGAUGGAGGGGGCUAACUACUGGAAACGGUAGCUAAUACCGCAUACCAUCAGAUGUGCCCAGAUGGGAUUAGAUAGUAGGUGGGGUAACGGCUCACCUAGGCGACGAUCCCUAGCUGGUCUGAGAGGAUGACCAGCAACAAUGGAACUGAGACAAGGUGCAGACUCCGACGGGAGGCAGCAGUGGGUAAUAUGGGACAAUGGGCGAAAGCCUGAUGCAGCCAUGCCGCGUGUGUGAAGAAGGCCUUCGGGUUGUAAAGCACUGUCAGCGGGGAGGCGUUACCCGCAGAAGAAGCACCGGCUAACUCCGUGCCAGCAGCCGCGGUAAUAC
rnacentral:rRNA from 1 species